UACGUAGGGUGCAAGCGUUUAAUCGGAAUUACUGGGGCGUUAAAAGAGCUCGUAGGCGGCUUGUCACGUCGGGUGUGAAAAGCUCGGGGCUUAACCCCGGGUCUGCAUUCGAUACGGGCUGGCUGGAGUGUGGUAGGGGAGGAUUGGAAUUCCUGGUGUAGCGGUGGAAUGCGCAGAUAUCAGGAGGAACACCGAUGGCGAAGGCAGAUCUCUGGGGCCGUAACUGACGCUGAGGAGCGAAAGCAUGGGGAGCGAACAGG
rnacentral:rRNA from 1 species